rnacentral:rRNA from 1 species
UACGGGGGGGGUAAGCGUUGUUCGGAAUUACUGGGCGUAAAGGGCUCGUAGGCGGCCAACUAAGUCAUACGUGAAAUCCCUCAGCUUAACUGGGGAACUGCGUGUGAUACUGGAUGGCUUGGAUUUGGGAGAGGGAUGCGGAAUUCCAGGUGUAGCGGUGAAAUGCGUAGAUAUCUGGAGGAACACCGGUGGCGAAGGCGGCAUCCUGGACCAACACUGACGCUGAGGCGCGAAAGCUAGGGGAGCAAACGGG